GCAUGACUGAAAGAGGGGAGGGGAGAGACAGAUGAGCAAGCAGAAAGGGGUCGCCCUGCCCAGCCAUGCCUGAUGCCUGCCAGGCAACACCAUGGCAGAGCAGUGGCUCUCAGCCUAUUGCUGAGCACUGGGACAGGGCACAUAACAGGAAAGGAAGAUCUGCCUUCUUCUGGGGCUCUGGCUACACAGGAGGAAGCUGCUGUCCAGGACCCCUCAGCCAAGAGGGCAGAGGCUCUGCUGGCUCUGUUUCCAUUCCCAUGCUGAUGAACCAAAGAGAGGUGAAAGCACAGCUUCAGGAAAGCCUCAGACUUGACCUUCCUUUUGAAGAGUCCCCUCUGACAUGGUCUGGGGGAGCCAUGGAUAUGUGAGCAGCCUGACCCAGAUAGACGUUUCCAGGCACCACCAGGAACCUGCCCUGCCCUGCUGCGGGAGCUCCUUCCACCCACAGCUUCUCCCCGCAGUGUCCUGGGCAGCUGCCCAGGCAGGCUGAGUGCUGAGCCUGGCAGGCAGCAGAGGCCCUGUCCCAGCACACAGCCCCUGAGGCACAGCAGGGACCCUGCUCUGCACCACAGCGCUGAGAACCCCUGCCUGAACCCUGCCUGCACAGCCAGCAUCUGACCCCUGAAGGAGGAACCCUCAUGUCCUGUCCCUCUGACAGCUUUGGCAGGUAGUCCCUGCUCUGCACCAUGUCAUUCUCCUCUUAUCCAAAGAAACUCUGAGUCCCCCUGACAGCUCCCAUAGGCUGUGGGAUUUGCCAGAAAAUCUGGAGAUGGCACCAGGAACAACAGUGGUGUUGCCCUGCAGCCAGAGACUUACCCUGUUCAGGCCUAUGAAGAUUUUGUUUCCACAGUGAGCUCUCAGCAUCCCCCCUCCACUCUGCCUUUAACAUCUCCCUCCCUUCUCUCAGUGGCCCUUGUCCCCUGCAGGCAGUGCCCCCAGCCCUGCUGCGCUGUGCAGAGGAGCUGCUCCUGGGCAGAGCUGUCUCUCUGCAGCGCUGCCCGCUUGCCAGGAGCUCCCCUUGGGCCCAGGAGCCCAG
rnacentral:lncRNA from 1 species